CUUAGAUCCCAGCAACUUCCUGAGUAAAUAUCACCUUGGUGUCUCCUAAGAGGAACUUGGGAUGCUCACAAAACCUGAUUCCCACCAUACGUGAAGCAUAAUGUCCAUGAGUGUUCCUGUCAUUGGACUCUGCAGAAGGCAAGCCUGGAAUUCCCUUCAGUUCCAGAGUGGGGGGCAAGCUAUAGAACAGGAGCACUGAACAGAAAACCAGGGACUGCAAGCCAUCAGUACAUAUUCCAGAAUAUCCUGGACUCAACUGUUUUAUGGCUGGUCAUUUGAAGCUAUGGGGAAAAACACGAAUCUUC
rnacentral:lncRNA from 1 species